UAUUAAAAAAUUUAUUCAUUUAUACCGUUAGAAACCGAAGUGGUUGAUGGAAUAACUAGACAGUUACACAUGGCUCAUCACGUGUACCUCAUGUUUAUGUAUAAGUACUAGUUUUUAACAGUAGAAAUUAAUGUAAUUUUAACA
rfam:Gossypium hirsutum cultivar TM-1 chromosome 2, whole genome shotgun sequence